GACGAACGCUGGCGGCGUGCUUAACACAUGCAAGUCGAACGGUGAAGAAGAGAAACGCGAACUUCGGUUCAAAUUUCACUUCGGAGUAGUGGCAGACUGAUGAGUAACGCGUGAGCGACCUACCUCUUACAAAGGGAUAGCCUCGGGAAACCGUGAUUAAUACCAUAUGACACAUUCAUAAAGCAUCUGAAGAAUGGUAAAGCUACGGCGGUAAGAGAUGGGCUCGCGUCACAUUAGCUAGUUGGUGAGGUAACGGCACACCAAGGCGACGAAGGGUAACUGGGAGGAGAGCGUGACCGGUUACGUUGGAAAUGAGACACGGUCUACAACCGUACGGAAGGCAGCAGUAGGGUAUACUGCGCACUGGAGGGAAAUGUGAUGAAGCGACGCCGGGUGAGCGAUGAAGGAAUUCGUAUCGUAAAGCUGUGUUCUAUGGGAAGAAAAGGACUGUACCAUAGGAGAAAGCACCGGCUAAAUACGUG
rnacentral:rRNA from 1 species